rfam:Populus trichocarpa isolate Nisqually-1 chromosome 14, whole genome shotgun sequence.
AUCUGAUGAUGAGGGCAUUGAAUGUAUAGUUGCUUAAAUCUUUCCCAAUACUCAGAAAGUGUCUCCCCAUGAGAUUGCUAAAUCCCACAUAUUUAUUUCCUUACGUU